UACGUAGGGCGCAAGCGUUAUCCGGAAUUAUUGGGCGUAAAGAGCUCGCAGGUGGUUUGUCGCGUUGUCCGUGAAAAACUCACAACUCAAUUGUGGGCGUGCGGGCGAUACGGGCAGACUGGAGUACUGCAGGGGAGACUGGAAUUCCUGGUGUAGCGGUGGAAUGCGCAGAUAUCAGGAGGAACACCGGUGGCGAAGGCGGGUCUCUGGGCAGUAACUGACGCUGAGGAGCGAAAGCGUGGGGAGCGAACAGG
rnacentral:rRNA from 1 species